rnacentral:rRNA from 1 species
CCUACGGGUGGCAGCAGUGAGGAAUAUUGGUCAAUGGGCGCGAGCCUGAACCAGCCAAGUCGCGUGAGGGAAGACGGUCCUAUGGAUUGUAGACCUCUUUUGUCGGGGGACAAAAGACGCCACGCGUGGCGUUCCGAGAGUACCCGAAGAAAAAGCAUCGGCUAACUCCGUCCCAGCAGCCGCGGUAAUACGGAGGAUGCGAGCGUUAUCCGGAUUUAGUGGGUUUAAAGGGUGCGCAGGCGGAAGAUCAAGUCGGCGGUAAAAUUGGGGGGCGCAACCUCGUCGAGCCGUUGAAACUGGUUGUCUUGAGUGAGUGAGAAGUAUGCGGAAUGCGUGGUGUAGCGGUGAAAUGCAUAGAUAUCGCGCAGAACCCCGAUUGCGAAGGCAGCAUACCGGCGCUCAACUGACGCUCAUGCACGAAAGUGUGGGUAUCGAACAGGAUUAGAUACCCCGGUAGUC